rnacentral:rRNA from 1 species
UACGGAGGGGGCUAGCGUUGUUCGGAAUUACUGGGCGUAAAGCGCGCGUAGGCGGCUUUGUGAGUCAGUGGUGAAAGCCUGGAGCUCAACUCCAGAACUGCCUUUGAGACUGCAUCGCUAGAAUCAUGGAGAGGUAAGUGGAAUUCCGAGUGUAGAGGUGAAAUUCGUAGAUAUUCGGAAGAACACCAGUGGCGAAGGCGACUUACUGGACAUGUAUUGACGCUGAGGUGCGAAAGCGUGGGGAGCAAACAGG